rnacentral:rRNA from 1 species
UACGUAGGGUGCGAGCGUUAUUCGGAAUUACUGGGCGUAAAGCGUGCGCAGGCGGCUUUGCAAGUCCGAUGUGAAAUCCCCGGGCUUAACCUGGGAAUGGCAUUUGGGACUGCAAGGCUCGAGUGCGGCAGAGGAGACUGGAAUUCCUGGUGUAGCAGUGAAAUGCGUAGAUAUCAGGAGGAAUACCGAUGGCGAAGGCAGGUCUCCGGGCUGACACUGACGCUCAUGCACGAAAGCGUGGGGAGCAAACAGG